ensembl:misc_RNA
UUGACAGCUCUGGAAACUGAAGUCAUCCUCUAUUUAAACACAGAAUGGGUUCAACAAGGCCAGUGGCAGUACAAUAUUCCUUACAUAGUUGUAAACAGAUGUUUAGUUUCUACCUGCAGGAGCCACCGUCUUGAAUUGAAUUGGAAAUUCAUAUCCUGUGCUUAUCCAUUCUUUUGUGUG